UUUAGCAGCUGCACAGUGUUCCAUUGUCUAGGCCAUGGCCCGAAAUACAGUACUAGACAGAGAGAGGCAACCAGCUAGUCUUUCAUAUAGGAUUUUACAUCUAAGAGAGUGAAAUAGGCUUAUAAUUUUCCAUGCUUCCUACUAUGCUUGUCUGGAUUUGGCGGCAUGUAUCUGGAAGGAAGUUUCUCUUGUCUAUUCAGUCUGAUAGUCUCUGUCUUUUAACAGGACCUACAUAAGAUUCCAAAAAUGCUUCAUUGGACAAAACGUAAGAGGACAUAAAAAUGUUAUGUUCUGGAAAACUUUGUUAGGUGACUCAAGAAAUGACUAUUGUGAUGCCAAAACACUGAUGGAAGAGACUCAUGUGAAGUGUUUUAAUAAAGAACUUUCAUUGUUAAGAAAAAUUAUCCUGCCCUUGGAAAUAAUAAGAAAGCAAGAAGAGGAUGAUAGUAUGUGUUUUCAAUGUGGUCAUGAAGCACUGUUUAACAGGCCCCCCCUAGAAUUAUAUAAUUGUAUAGAAUUACCUGUGUUUGACUUUGCUAUUUACUAUGCAUUAGAAUCCAGAUACUGUGCAGCUACACGUAAAUUUGUAGAUUUUUUUUUGGUAGAGAUAUAAAUGAUUAUGUUCAGUAGGAAAUGUAAUCUGUUAUUUCAUUGCCCUGUGAAACAUUAACUUGUUUUGUAUCUAAUAUAAUAAUCUUAUUUUACAUUCUGUUGUUUUUUUCUUUCUAGAAACAACCAGUCCCUCAAACUCUCUUUGAAUUAGCUUUACCAUCCUACUGUUUCCCUCAUCAAUUAAAAUAAAAUCUCUGACAUGA